GUAACGGCGAGUGAAGCGGGAAGAGCUCACGUUGUGAAUCUGGCCCUCGGGCCCGAACUGUACUCUGGAGAGGCGAGGCCAGCCGCUGUCCGCGGCCAAGUCUGAUUGGAAAUGAGCAUCAAGGAGGGUGACAAUCCCGUCCAUGCCGCGGUAUCGAUCAGCGCGCGCCCGGCCCGCUUUCGACGAGUCGAGUUGCUUGGGAUUGCAGCUCAAAGAGGGUGGUAAACUCCAUCCAAAGCUAAACACGGGGGGGAGACCGAUAGCGAACAAGUACCGUGAGGGAAAGAUGCAAAGGACUUUGAAAAGAGAGUUAAAGAGUGCCUGAAAUUGCUGGAAGGGAAGCGAAGGAAAGAAGUGUGCGGUUGCCCGGGCGCCAACCCCUACCUGUCCGCAGGUGGGGGUAGGCCGCCCGGCCGCGGUCAGGGGUUGCGCCGGGCUCGGGGGAAGAGCCGUCGGGGAUCGGUAGGCGUGCCGCCGCUUCGGCGGCGGGGCGCUGUCAGGCCUCGGUGGUGCACAUUUGUUUUUGCCCUGAGCCCGGCCCCCUUCUGGCGGUCGCGGCUUUUCUUCACCCCGUCUU
rnacentral:rRNA from 1 species